AGUGAACGCUGGCGGCAUGCCUUACACAUGCAAGUCGAACGGCAGCAUGGGUGCUUGCACCUGAUGGCGAGUGGCGAACGGGUGAGUAAUGCAUCGGAACGUACCCGGAAGUGGGGGAUAACGUAGCGAAAGUUACGCUAAUACCGCAUAUUCUGUGAGCAGGAAAGCGGGGGAUCGCAAGACCUCGCGCUUCCGGAGCGGCCGAUGUCGGAUUAGCUAGUUGGCGGGGUAAAGGCCCACCAAGGCAACGAUCCGUAGCGGGUCUGAGAGGAUGAUCCGCCACACUGGGACUGAGACACGGCCCAGACUCCUACGGGAGGCAGCAGUGGGGAAUUUUGGACAAUGGGCGCAAGCCUGAUCCAGCCAUGCCGCGUGAGUGAAGAAGGCCUUCGGGUUGUAAAGCUCUUUCGGCGGGGAAGAAAUCGCAUCUCCUAAUACGGGGUGUGGAUGACGGUACCCGAAUAAGAAGCACCGGCUAACUACGUG
rnacentral:rRNA from 1 species